GAAGGCAAAGACCGCCGAGGCAGAGNAAACCCUAAAAAACUAGGUCCCACUUCGGAUCGCAGGCUGCAACCCGCCCUGCGUGAAGUUGGAAUUGCUAGUAAUCGCGGAUCAGCAUGCCGCGGUGAAUACGUUCCCGGGCCUUGUACACACCGCCCGUCACACCAUGGAAGUCGGUAAUGCCCGAAGUCAGUAGCCUAACCGCAAGGGGGGCGCUGCCGAAGGCAGGAUUGAUGACUGGGGUGAAGUCGUAACAAGGUACC
rnacentral:rRNA from 1 species